UAAUGCAGAUGUGAUGAACACGUGUCUCUCACACACGUGGCAAUAUCCGAACGGUGGAACAAGUCGACGCGGCGCCGGCUUCAAGCUGGACGGUUCUGGAUCGUGGGCCGGCUGUUGAAAAAUCGGUGCUGAGAUAUGUUUCUAUUUUAUUUUAUUUUUUAAUAAUCGCUGAUUGCAGACUAAUUAUUUCUCUAUUGUUUGAUCUGAUUGACUAAUUAUUUAUCAGUUAUAGACUAAUAGCCAGGAAAUA
rnacentral:lncRNA from 1 species